rnacentral:rRNA from 1 species
GACAGAGGAUGCAAUCGUUAUCCGGAAUGAUUGGGCGUAAAGCGUCCGUAGGUGGCUUUUCAAGUCCGCCGUCAAAUCCUAGGGCUCAACCCUGGACAGGCGGUGGAAACUACCAAGCUGGAGUACGGUAGGGGCAGAGGGAAUUUCCGGUGGAGCGGUGAAAUGCAUUGAGAUCGGAAAGAACACCAACGGCGAAAGCACUAUGCUGGGCCGACACUGACACUGAGAGACGAAAGCUAGGGGAGCAAAUGGG